GACGAACGCUGGCGGCGUGCUUAACACAUGCAAGUCGAACGAAGAGCGAUGGAAGCUUGCUUCUAUCAAUCUUAGUGGCGAACGGGUGAGUAACGCGUAAUCAACCUGCCCUUCAGAGGGGGACAACAGUUGGAAACGACUGCUAAUACCGCAUACGAUCUAACCUCGGCAUCGAGGAUAGAUGAAAGGUGGCCUCUACAUGUAAGCUAUCACUGAAGAAGGGGAUUGCGUCUGAUUGGCUAGUUGGAGGGGUAACGGCCCACCAAGGCGAUGAUCAGUAGCCGGUCUGAGAGGAUGGACGGCCACAGUGAGACUGAGACACGGCCCAGACUCCUACGGGAAGCAGCAGUAGGGAAUCUUCCGCAAUGGACGAAAGUCUGACGGAGCAACGCCGCGUGAGUGAUGACGGCCUUCGGGUUGUAAAGCUCUGUUAAUCGGGACGAAAGGCUUUCUUGCGAAUAGUGAGAAGGAUUGACGGUACCGGAAUAGAAAGCCACGGCUAACUACGUG
rnacentral:rRNA from 1 species